rfam:Oryza sativa (indica cultivar-group) chromosome 7, whole genome shotgun sequence.
GGGUCCAUAGCUCAGUGGUAGAGCAAUUGACUGCAGAUCAAUAGGUCCCCGGUUGGGCCCU